AUUGAACGCUGGCGGCGUGCUUAACACAUGCAAGUCGAUCGGUAACAGGUGUAGCAAUACAUGCUGACGAGAGGCGGACGGGUGAGUAAUGCUUGGGAAUCUGCCUAUUAGUGGGGGACAACCCGGGGAAACUCGGGCUAAUACCGCAUACGCUCUACGGAGGAAAGCCGGGGACCGCAAGGCCUGGCGCUAAUAGAUGAGCCCAAGUCGGAUUAGCUAGUUGGUAGGGUAACGCCUACAAGGCGACAAUCCGUAGCUGGUCUGAGAGGACGACCAGCCACACCGGAACUGAGACACGGUCCGGACUCCUACGGGAGGCAGCAGUGGGGAAUAUUGGACAAUGGGGGCAACCCUGAUCCAGCGACGCCGCGUGGGUGAAGAAGGCCUGCGGGUUGUAAAGCCCUUUCGGUGGGGAAGAAAAGUCUCGACCUAAUACGUCGGGACCUUGACGUAACCCACUAAAGAA
rnacentral:rRNA from 1 species